CUCAACCCUAGUAUAAAUAGAGCCAGAGUGAAGCUCAGAUUUUGAGAGAGCUUACAAACUGCACUGCUGCCUCCCAGACUGGUGUGAACAAGGCAAUAUGCUAGGAGUGCUCGGCAAAUUAUCUCCACAUCCUGUUCAUUUAGUUGCCUCUUGAAGCGACCGUGUGAUAAAAUCUCUCUCCAACGACCCCACCUGAUCCAAAGUAACACACCCAGCAGAGUUUUUAAAAUACAAUACUCAGGCAAUCUGUACUAGGUUGCAAUCAUUUAUCAAAAAGAUAUCCCUGUUGAGAACAGCACACAGAGUUUAUGAAAUAUGUAGCAUUCUACCUUUUAUGUAUAAGGUAGUCCUCAAGGAUGUCAAGACAGCGCACCAUUUGAGAGAAGAUAAGCACCUUAUGGCCUCCUGCUUUCAUUUUUGGAAGAAGUUUAUCAAUGAGGACCAAUUUACCAGCAGA